ensembl:snRNA U6 U6 spliceosomal RNA
GUGCUUACUUCAGCAACACAUAUACUAAAAUUGGAACCAUACAAAGAACAUUAACAUGGUCCUUGUGCAAGGAUGACACACUUGGACUGCUUCUGU